AACGUAGGAGACAAACGUUAUCCGGAGUUACUGGGCGUAAAGGGCGUGUAGGUGGUUUCGUAAGUCUGGCGUGAAAUAUCUCGGCUUAACCGAGGCAGGUCGUCGGAUACUGCGGGACUAGAGGACGGUAGAGGCGUGUGGAAUUCCGGGUGUAGUGGUGAAAUGCGUAGAGAUCCGGAGGAACACCAGUGGCGAAGGCGACACGCUGGGCCGUACCUGACACUGAUGCGCGACAGCAUGGGGAGCAAACA
rnacentral:rRNA from 1 species